rnacentral:rRNA from 1 species
GGCCGCUUACACAUGCAAGUCGAACGAAGUAGCAUACUUUAGUGGCAGACGGGUGAGUAACAUGUGGGUAUCUGCCCUUUGGCCUGGAAUAACACGAGGAAACUUGUGCUAAUACUGGAUAAGUCUUUACGGAGAAAGCUUUAUGCACCAUUGGAUGAGCCCGCACUUGAUUAGUUUGUUGGUGGGGUAAUGGCCUACCAAGACUAUGAUCAAUAGCUGAUUUGAGAGGAUGAUCAGCCACAUUGGGACUGAGACACGGCCCAAACUCCUACGGGAGGCAGCAGUGGGGAAUCUUGCACAAUGGAGGAAACUCUGAUGCAGCGAUGCCGCGUGAGUGAAGAAGGCCCUUGGGUUGUAAAGCUCUUUCGUCGGGGAAGAAAAUGACUGUACCCGUAUAAGAAGGUCCGGCUAACUUCGUGCCAGCAGCCGCGGUAAUACGAAGGGACCUAGCGUAGUUCGGAAUUACUGGGCUUAAAGAGUUCGUAGGUGGUUGAAAAGUUAGUGGUGAAAUCCCAGAGCUUAACUCUGGAACUGGCAUUAAAACUUUUCCGCUAGAGUAUGAUAGACGAAAGCAGAAUCUCUAGUGUAGAGGUGGAAAUCGUAGAUUUUGAA